UUGCAUGACUAGUAUGUGAGAUAGAUGAAUGCCUUGAUUGUUGCAUAUUCUGAGGAUAUAUAUUGACGAGGUUGAUGCUUUCAUGAUUUGUUUUUAGGCAUAUUCAUUUAGUUUGCAUUCAUAGUAGUUGCAUAUCCGACGCUUGGUAGAAAAUAAUGAAUUUUGUGGGUAGAUUCACUAUAAACCCUCACGAGACAAAACUCGUCCUACUAGGGCUGCCUAGGGGUUUAACGGCUUGUUGCAUACGCUCAAUGCAAUCGUGUC
rnacentral:lncRNA from 1 species